CCAUGUAGAAGUUAGAGUCUAAAGCCUUGUCUGAUCUCAGAAGCUAAACAGGUUUGAGCUUGGUUUGGAUUUGGAUGGGAGACCGCUGGGAAUAGCAGGUUCCACAGUGA
rnacentral:rRNA from 1 species